rnacentral:rRNA from 1 species
UACGUAGGGUGCAAGCGUUGUCCGGAAUUAUUGGGCGUAAAGAGCUCGUAGGCGGUUUGUUGCGUCGGCUGUGAAAACCCGGGGCUCAACCCCGGGCCUGCAGCCGAUACGGGCAGACUAGAGUUCGGCAGGGGAGACUGGAAUUCCUGGUGUAGCGGUGAAAUGCGCAGAUAUCAGGAGGAACACCGGUGGCGAAGGCGGGUCUCUGGGCCAUUACUGACGCUGAGGAGCGAAAGCGUGGGGAGCGAACAGG